rnacentral:misc_RNA from 1 species
UCCGGCUUGUCGCCGGCGGUCCCUUUAGAGUGCCCAACUAAAUGAUGGCAACUAAAGGAGAGGGUUGCGCUCGUUGCGGGACUUAACCCAACAUCUCACGACACGAGCUGACGACAGCCAUGCAGCACCUGUGCUAGCCCCAAAAGGACACGGGCUUUCACCCGUUUUAACUAGCAUGUCAAGCCUAGGUAAGGUUCUUCGCGUUGCGUCGAAUUAAAGCACAUGCUCCACCGCUUGUGCGGGCCCCCGUCAAUUCCUUUGAGUUUCAGCCUUGCGGCCGUACUCCCCAGGCGGGGCACUUAAUGCGUUAGCGCCGGCACUCAGGGGGUCGCUCCCCCAAGCACCUAGUGCCCAUCGUUUACGGCGUGGACUAC